CUGCAACUCGCCUACAUGAAGUCGGAAUUGCUAGUAAUCGCGGAUCAGCAUGCCGCGGUGAAUACGUCCCCGGGCCUUGUACACACCGCCCGUCACACCAUGGGAGUCGGUAACACCCGAAGCCUGUAGUCUAACCGCAAGGGGGACGCAGUCGAAGGUGGGAUUGAUGACUGGGGUGAAGUCGUAACAAGGUAGC
rnacentral:rRNA from 1 species